AGGCCGUUUGGUCUCAAUCAUCGUUCUUUCUUCUGCCCUAAUCGACGACUUCCUGCUGGGAAGGAGAUCGCGGCCUUCUAUCAAGUUUCUUUGAUUUGCGGCUCGAGACUCUAGAUAGUUGUAAUUGGUGGCUGUCUAUUUCUUCUUCAGGCAGCAAUGCAGGAAUAUGACAGAGACGGUUAUGAAGAUUAUGAUGAUUAUGAUGAUGAGGGACAAGAGCAAGAAUAUGAAUAUGAAGAGGAGGGGGAGGAGGAAUAUGAAGAGGAACAACCUCCUAAACCGACAAAGGAAGAACUGGAGUACCUUGAAUUGAGGCAGAAAUUGAAAGAAUCGAUUAGAAAACAGAUGAAGAAGGAGAGUAGUACAUCGCAUGCCGGUUCAAGUGAAAGGAAGAAAAAGCUUCCUUACGAUAAUUAUGGGUCAUUUUUUGGUCCUUCUCAACCUGUUAUUGCGCAAAGAGUCAUCCAAGAGAGCAAGUCACUGUUAGAAAACCAGCAUUUGGCAUCUAGGCUUUCUAACCCACUUCAUAUUAACAAAAACAAAAACAAAGUAUCCAAUGGGGGAUCAAAAUCUGCAGUUCAUAAUCAGCUACCCAAAGUCAGUGAGGUGAAGCUUAAAGCACAGAAAAUUAAGGAUACAAGAGAUUAUUCCUUUCUUUUGUCUGAUGAUGCAGAGCUUCCAGCUCCUUCAAAAGAGCCUCCACCCAGGAAUAUGCCUCUCAGAUGUUCUGAUGCACGGCCAGCUCAAGUACAAGGAAGGAAUAAGCAGCCUUUAAGCAGUGGUGGCAAGCAUGUUAAUGGUGGUCGUGAGGACAGAAAACUAGGUUCUGCAGGUGGCCAAUUACUUCCUAAAGUGGGGUCCGGUAAUAAGUUAGCUUCUUGCAGUAAGCCUAGUAUGGCAUCAGCAGAUUCAAGAAAACAGCUUGGAAACAACAGUGUGAAUGGACCUGGCCGGCCUGUGGGACUGAAAAGCUUGCCUCCAAAGGCACCUGUUGGUACCAUGAGCAAUAAGUCUUUGGUGACUGGUAUAAAAGGCCAUGUAAAUGCUGUUCAGAAACCACCCGUUUCAAAAACUCAUUCAUCUAUUUCAAAGCAGAGUGUGGAACAAAGAAAAGAUGCUAGGGAAAAGCCUAAAAUGAUGCCCAGACAGCCGGUGGCACCUUCUAUUCCUCAGAAAUCAAAGCCACCUACACAGGUUACAACACAACGUCCAAUCCAAGAUCAACGCCCCAAGAAGAAGCCUGUAAGACGGCCCUUUGAUGACGAUGACGACGAUGAGGGUCAAAGGGCUAUUAGCAUGAUCAGAAGAAUGUUUCACUACAACCCCAACAAAUUUGCUGAUGAUGACGAGGAUGAUAUGAACAUGGAGGCAGGCUUUGAUGACAUCAUGAGGGAGGAAAGAAGGAGUGCCAAAAUUGCUAGGAGGGAGGAUGAAGAGCAACUCCGAUUGAUAGAGGAGGAGGAAGAAAGAGAACGGAGAAGUCGAAUUGCCAAGUUAAAGAAGCGUAAGCUUGCCAAUCAUUAACACCAUAUCUUCCCUUGACUUCCCCAUUUGUAAUCCGUAUAAUUAGAGACAUUCCUCCUUAAUGCCCGUUCGAAUGGUGGGAAAGACGUCCCUGUGUAGGCGCAGGGGAUGCAUGCAUGUUGCGAUAUUUUUUUGACUGAAGACUGAAAACUUCAUUCAGAGCAAAUGGUAACCAAACAAUUUAUAAGGCAAGGAUCCAAAGAUUAACUUUCAUCAUCCACCACGUCUAAGCCUAAAGGUGGGGAUGAUUAAAGAUGAUCACUGUGGCAACUUAUAAGAGCCUUCUUCUCCUUCUUUGAAUUAGAGGGGCAGGCACUUAUGGCUUGAAGUAACAAGAUCAAACCUAUGACCUCUUACUUAUAUGAGAGUUUACAUGUCAUUAGAUUACAACACCAUUGGCUACCUUUCCAAUCUUCCAAUUCUACCGUAAACCCUUUAAUUUAUUUUGAGUGAAAAGGGAAUUAUAUUGACAAAAUAUACAAGCGGAACAAGUGUUUAUAAAAGAAACACGCUAAGCCUCAUGGUCCAGAGAUUGAAGGAUCCCAUGGGCUUUAACAUCAUAAUAAACUAAGUUAUAGGCGGAUCUAACAAUACAAUGGGGAGUGAUGAUUUCAUCGGUAAGUGUUCUCUUUAUUCAUGUUGGUCCAAAGUUUCCAUGCCACAACACUGAAGCUGAGUCUCCAAUGAGUCCUCAUGAUGCGUGGUUUGAGGUUCCAAUGUAACCACUCCUCAAAAGGCUUGCUGAAGAAGGUAAGAGGCUGCAUGCUGUGGGACUAGCAUUAUGCAACAAAGUCUGGCUGUGUUACAUCUAUACGGGACGUGGUCCACAUCUUCAACAGCUUUGUUGCAAGCUUCACGAGGCAUUUGAUGGUAAGCCUUGUCGAACUCGUUCAGCAUUAGUGAGCAGGCGGUUCUUCUCAGAUAACCAAAGGAAAGUAUUGACUCUAGGCACCCCAGGCCAUUUCCAGAUCAAACUCCAUGGCUGUGGUGCUUCACUUCCAAAGGGGUUCUUAGGUUGAUUUGUAUGCAGAAGCUGCCGAGAAUUCACCAUUGCUAGUAAGGUCCCAAUAGUAUUAGUCAGGAUUGUAGGAGUAACAACUUUUAAAUGGUGGGCAGACUUCCUACUCUUCCAUAAUUAUCAUGCAAUAAGCACAUGUUCUGUGGGCAGACGAAUUGUGGCUUAAAAUUACUGGGCAUCCUGGAAGGAUUAACAGAAAAAGAAUGUUGUGGAAUGAAGCUGAGUUUGUUAUAAA